AGUAUUUCUGCUUAUCGGACCAGCUGUCUCUGUGAUCACCUCACACAUUUCGCUGUGCUGCUGGAUGUAUCCAGAAAGGACUUGAGUGAAGCUGACAGACAGAUUCUGACAGUGAUCUCAUAUCUCGGUUGUGGUUUAUCCUCCAUCUUUCUGGGCAUCACUCUCCUCACCUACCUUGCUUUUGAGAAGCUACGUCAAGACUACCCA